CGGCGCGCGAUCGGCUCUGGCAGCUCGAUCUGUGGCGCAGGCAGGGCGAGGGGAAGAUGGCCGAGCAAUUCGGCCCGCGCUUCGCCGCGCAGGAUCGCGCGGCGCGGCUCUUUCUCUAUCGCGGCGAUCUGGAGGCCGAGUAUGCGAGCUAUCACCCGGAAGCCAAGCAGAUCCUGCAGGCGUUCGCCGACGGCAUCAACGCAUACGUGCGCGAGGCGAAGGCCGAUCCCGCGAAGAUGCCGCCCGAGUUCCGGCUGACGGGCGCCGAGCCGGGCGAAUGGCGGCCCGAAUCGUCGCUGAUCCGGAUCUACGGGAUCACGCGCAACGUGACGGGCGAGGUCGCGCUCGCGCGGCAGGUGGCCGCCGUCGGGCUGAGCAAGGCGCUUUCGCUGAAUGCGUUCGAGCCGCCGGUGCGGCAGACGGCGAUCCCGGCGGGUGUCGACGUCGGCCUGAUCGACAAGCGGAUCCUCGCCGACUAUCUGCUCGCGCGCAACGGCCUGCCGUUCCGCGCGGAAGACUUCCCGCGCAGCCCGCUCGGCGCGGCGCAGCGCGACGCGCUCGCCGCGCGCCUGAACGCGGCGCGGCUCACGCUCGCCGACGAUUCGGCGAAUCCGCUCGCGCCGCGCUACGAGAGCAACAACUGGGUGGUCGCGGGCGCGCGCACGGCGAGCGGCAAGCCGCUUUUCGCGAACGAUCCGCACCGGCGCAUCGGCAUGCCUUCGCUGCGCUACAUGGUGCAUCUGCACGCGCCCGGCUGGAACGUGAUCGGCGCGGGCGAGCCCGCGCUGCCCGGCGUGUCGGUCGGGCACAACGAUCGCGUCGCGUUCGGCCUGACGAUCUUCGCGUUCGGUGACGAAGAGGAUCUGUACGUGUACGACACCCGGCCGGGCCACCCCGACGAAUACCGCUAUCGCGGCCGGUGGGAAAAGAUGCGCAUCGUCGAGGAGACCGUCGCCGUGCGCGGGCAGGCGAAUCGGGUCGAACGGCUCGCGUUCACGCGGCACGGGCCGGUGCUGUACGAGGACGCCGCGCAUCGCAAGGCGUAUGCGCUGCGCGCCGCGUACCUCGAAUUUCCGGGCACGGCCGCGUAUCUCGCGAGCCUGCGGCUCGACCAGGCGCGCGACUGGCCGAGCUUCGUCGCGGGCAUGCGCCGGCAUUACGUGCCGGGCGAGAACAUGGUCUAUGCGGAUGUCGACGGCAACAUCGGCUGGUUCGGCGGCGCGCUCGCGCCGAUCCGGCGCGAGGCCGACUGGUCCGGCGCGCUGCCGGUGCCGGGCGACGGCCGCUACGAAUGGGCGGGGCUGACGGAGGGCGAAGCGCUGCCGCACGUGCUGAAUCCGGCCGCCGGCUAUAUCGCCACCGCGAACGCCUAUGAUUUGCCGGACGGCUACCGCUACGUCGAUCGGUCCGCGCAUGUGUGGGCCGAGCCGUUCCGGCAGCGGCGCCUCGACGAGGUGCUGCGCGGCGCGAGCGGGCUGACGGUCGCGGACAUGCAGCGGUUGCAGUACGACGACCGGUCGCUGCC
rnacentral:rRNA from 1 species